UACGUAGGGUGCAAGCGUUGUCCGGAAUUAUUGGGCGUAAAGAGCUCGUAGGCGGUCUGUCGCGUCGGAUGUGAAAAUCCAGGGCUCAACCCUGGACCUGCAUUCGAUACGGGCAGACUAGAGUGCGGUAGGGGAGAUCGGAAUUCCUGGUGUAGCGGUGAAAUGCGCAGAGUAUCUGGAGGAAUACCGGUGGCGAAGGCGGCAUCCUGGACCGGCAUUGACGCUGAGGAGCGAAAGCCAGGGGAGCAAACGGG
rnacentral:rRNA from 1 species